AUUGAACGCUGGCGGCAGGCCUAACACAUGCAAGUCGAGCGAGCGGCGGACGGGUGAGUAAUGUAUGGGGACUGCCCGAUAGAGGGGGAUAACUACUGGAAACGGUAGAUAAAACCGCAUAUUAUCGGAUAACCCAUAUGGGAUUAGCUAGUAGGUGAGGUAAUGGCUCACCUAGGGGACGAGCCCCAGCUGGUCUGAGAGGAUGAUCAGCCACACUGGGACUGAGACACGGCCCAGACUCCUACGGAGGCAGCAGUGGGGAAUAUUGCACAAUGGGCGCAAGCCUGAUGCAGCCAUGCUGCGUGUAUGAAGAAGGCCCUAGGGUUGUAAAGUACUUUCAGUCGGGAGGCGUUACCGACAGAAGAAGCACCGGCUAACUCCGUGCCAGCAGCCGCGGUAAUUC
rnacentral:rRNA from 1 species